rnacentral:rRNA from 1 species
GACGAACGCUGGCGGCGUGCCUAAUACAUGCAAGUAGAACGCACAGUUUAUACCGUAGCUUGCUACACCAUAAACUGUGAGUUGCGAACGGGUGAGUAACGCGUAGGUAACCUGCCUGGUAGCGGGGGAUAACUAUUGGAAACGAUAGCUAAUACCGCAUAAUAUUAAUUAUUGCAUGAUAAUUGAUUGAAAGAUGCAAUUGCAUCACUACCAGAUGGACCUGCGUUGUAUUAGCUAGUAGGUGAGGUAACGGCUCACCUAGGCGACGAUACAUAGCCGACCUGAGAGGGUGAUCGGCCACACUGGGACUGAGACACGGCCCAGACUCCUACGGGAGGCAGCAGUAGGGAAUCUUCGGCAAUGAACGAAAGUCUGACCGAGCAACGCCGCGUGAGUGAAGAAGGUUUUCGGAUCGUAAAGCUCUGUUGUAAGAGAAGAACGGGUGUGAGAGUGGAAAGUUCACACUGUGACGGUAUCUUACCAGAAAGGGACGGCUAACUACGUG